AAAAAGAGAGGGAAGUACUUAAUUCCCUACGUACCCUACAACAGUUUAUUAAUUGGCUAUCCCACUCUUUCCAAUAGCGAAGGGUAGCCAAAGGUCCUUCCUACUAACUACCAUGAUAAAUAAGAGAGAGAGAGAGAGAGAGAGAGAGAGAGAGAGAGGCUUUAAUUAUUUCCAGACUAGCUAGGACAAAUUAAGCCCUUCAACCAAGCUUAAAGCUGAAGUACCCUUUUAUCAUGAUCUCCUGCCUAUAAAAGUUAAUGGCAAAGGCUCUUUGUUUGUGUUGCUGAUCAUAUAUUCUACUAGACAACAAAGAGAUCUAGAAGAUCAAGGAAAAAUGCAAGGUGUUCCACCACCACAAAACAUGUCAUAUUAUGAUCAUGUCCAGAAACGCCGCGAGGAGAAAGGAUGUCUCUAUGCUUGUUUGUUUGCGUUUUGUUGCUGCUUUUGCUGCAACGAGCUAUGCGAGUGCUGUUUGGAGGGUAUCUGCUGUUGUUGCUCCUAGAUGAUUAUUAGCUCACGCAAAACAUGUUCUAGUUCAUUGAUCAUGAUCGAGUGGAUGUGGGAGUCAGUUUAAUUUUAUCCUGCCAAUAAACUGUAUAUUAAAAUUAUGUUAUUGCUACAAAGUAUCGUUUUCUUUUAUGGUACGUACGUAAUUGAAUGAAAUAUCAUUCAACUAUCUAUAUAUUGUGUGUGUGUAUAGGAGGUGUCUUGUACUUAUUUUUAAGGGCUUGUUAAGACCAUGUAAGUUGUAUUCGUUGAAGGAAACUGUGUGCUCAUGCUCUUGUUGUAGCAGAAAGUGAAGAGGAAAGGGCAAGGUUUGAGGGUGUGUAAUUUGCACAUCCAUUUAUAUGAAAUUGAUCUCUUCCUCCCA